GACACCACCCUUGGCAACGAGCCGCUCGAAGAGACAGCGGCCAACUUAGGCAUCGUAGAUCCGCACGGAUCGAACGCGGGCACGCCGGUCCUCUCGAACCUCCUCGCCGAGCGUGAAACGCAGUCCGCGGCCUGAUACUCUCUGCUUUUCCCUGUUUUGUCUUUCAUGCUUCUGUACUUAGGAUUUUUAUCUGUUUUCUG
rnacentral:lncRNA from 1 species